rnacentral:rRNA from 1 species
UGGUGCCUCCGUGCGGUCGGGGGGGGGAAUACGGAGGGUGGAUGCGUUAAUAGGAAUGACUGGGCGUAAAUGGCACGCAGGCGGUUGGAUAAGGCAGAUGUGGAAGCCCCGGGCGCAACCUGGGAACUGCAUUUGAAACUGUCCGGCUAGAGUCUUGUAGAGGGGGGUAGAAUUCCAGGUGUAGCGGUGAAAUGCGUAGAGAUCUGGAGGAAUACCGGUGGCGAAGGCGGCCCCCUGGACAAAGACUGACGCUCAGGUGCGAAAGCGUGGGGAGCAAACAGGAUUAGAUACCCGAGUAGUC